CGGCAAACGGGUGUGGAACACGUACAGAACCUUCCUUUAAGCGGGAGAUAGCCCGGAGAAAUCCGGAUUAAUACCCCAUAGUAUUACUGAUUGGCAUCAAUUGGUAAUUAAAGAUUUAUCACUUAAAGAUGGCUGUGCGGCUGAUUAGGUAGUUGGUGUAGGUAAAGGCUCACCAAGCCAGCGAUCAGUAACUGGUGUGAGAGCACGACCAGUCACACGGGCACUGAGACACGGGCCCGACUCCUACGGGAGGCAGCAGUAAGGAAUAUUGGUCAAUGGAGGCAACUCUGAACCAGCCAUGCCGCGUGAAGGAUGAAGGUCCUCUGGAUUGUAAACUUCUUUUAUGUGGGAAGAAAUGCAUUCUUUAUAGAGUGUUUGACGGUACCAUAGGAAUAAGCACCGGCUAACUCCGUGCCAGCAGCCGCGGUAAUACGGAGGGUGCAAGCGUUAUCCGGAUUCACUGGGUUUAAAGGGUGCGUAGGUGGGAAUGUAAGUCAGUGGUGAAAUCUCUGAGCUUAACUCAGAAACUGCCAUUGAUACUACGUUUCUUGAAUUUUCUGGAGGUCAGCGGAAUAUGUCAUGUAGCGGUGAAAUGCUUAGAUAUGACAUAGAACACCAAUUGCGAAGGCAGCUGACUACAGGGAUAUUGACACUGAGGCACGAAAGCGUGGGGAUCAAACAGGAUUAGAUACCCUGGUAGUCCACGCCCUAAACGAUGGAUACUCGACAUUUGUGAUAGACAAUAAGUGUC
rnacentral:rRNA from 1 species